GGCGCAGUGGCCAAAGCGGUACGGCGUCAGUCUUGUAAACCGAAGAUCAUGGGUUCGACCCCCAUCAGUGCCU